UACAGAGGGUGCAAGCGUUGUUCGGAAUUAUUGGGCGUAAAGAGCUCGUAGGCGGUUUGUCGCGUCUGCUGUGAAAACUCAGGGCUUAACCCUGAGCCUGCAGUGGGUACGGGCAGACUAGAGUGUGGUAGGGGAGAUCGGAAUUCCUGGUGUAGCGGUGGAAUGCGCAGAUAUCAGGAGGAACACCGGUGGCGAAGGCGGAUCUCUGGGCCAUAACUGACGCUGAGGAGCGAAAGCAUGGGGAGCGAACAGG
rnacentral:rRNA from 1 species